UUUAUGUAUCAAACCCGAAAGGGGUAGGUGUAACCGUGUGUCGAAGUAUAAUAGUAACAGAUUGAGGUGUUUUUCGUGCAAACUAUGUGGCAAAAUAAUAUCGUUAAUAAGCAAAAAAACCUUCAGCUGGAAAAGUUACAUUCAAGGCUUGAAAGUCCUUUUCAGUAUUUAAAUAUGUGUGUGCCGUUCCAAUUGUUCUCCUCGUUUGAUGUAUCGCGAGAAUUUUGAAGGUUAACUAAUACGCCAGAUUUAUACCGAGGACGAGUACGUAUACUCAAAGAAGCUUAUAAAACGAUUUGAGAAGCUGCUGAUAAUUGGUUUUCAGAUGAAAACAGCGGAAGCUGCCGUUAAAUUUUUCAGUGGAAAUGAGAGAUUUUUUAAUCUGAAAAGAGUAGUUUAUUAAAUAUGUACAUAUGAUUAUAUGUAUAUACGUAGCUAUUAAAAAAUACAACUAAACCUCAAGAAAAUAGUGUUUUUAUCCUGAUAAAUAAUAUUAGAUAAAUCCGUUAGUAAAGGACCGAAAAGAUGCCACUGUUUGGCAAAAAAGAUUCAAGCAAAAAGAUGAAAAAGGAAAACAAAGACCUUAAUAAGCAAACAUCUAUAGAGGAAAAAUAUAACCUCCAUGGAUUGCUUGGGACAGUUGGCGCUCCCAUAUUGAAUAUCGGCGUGGACAUAUGCCCGGAUUCACAAAUAGCUUACAAAAUUGCAACUUUUCUGUUGGGGUGAUAAUUUUUCAAAUCAGAAAUAUUUUUAUUUGCCAGUUGGUGCGGCGGAUUAUACACAAACUAAGCAGACUGGUUGCUUUAAUUAAGAUGCAGUUUAUUCAGAAAUCACUGUUCUUUAUUUCGUAUUUUUUACUUAAAUUAAAGAGCUCAAUAGGCUUUAUAAGAAAAUAAACUAAGCGGGUUUAUCGAAUACAAAGCG